AAAGUUUAAUACAUUAAGUAUUCCAAAAGCUAUUACAUCAAAUGAGUGGCUUUGUGGGCAUACUUCCAACAAUGGUGAGAUCACAACUGCCUAGCUUCUUCAAUGUGAGAUAUGUCUAAGAAGUACCAAAAUUCAUUAGCGGUCAAGUCUAAGUCGAAGAAUUGACUUAGAUUGAGGAAUCACACCAUUACACGAACCACAUUUGGAAAACAUUGAGCGGGGCCACACUUCAUAGAGCAAAGUACUUCUUGGAAAAAAUGCGGCAUGGAGAAAGGAAAUCCCAACACAAAGUAGUAGAGGGUGAAACUUGAUGGCUCUCCGAGCUCCAUUACUUGGCUCAUGGCUACUACUUUCCUUGGCACGCUUCACACGCAUCCCAACAAAAUUGCAUGCCAAUACGCUUCAAGGAAGUAUCCGAAUGAGUCAUUACAAUUAAUUUUGAAGUGAGCAGCCUUGAAAUAGCCCAUCUUACUCAAUGACUCGCCUUGAUGAGACAAUGACGGUACAUCAUCAUCACCUUUAUAGCUUGAAGAAGACAUGCUCGAAGAAAUUCUACAAAGACAAGGGGAAAAGUCAUUAGCUGGUUGCAACCAAAAAAAAAAAAU
rnacentral:lncRNA from 1 species